rnacentral:lncRNA from 1 species
UUUUUUUUUUUUUUCUCAAGACUUUUGGAUCGAUUUCUCUCCAGGCACUCAACGAGCUCAUCCAAGACGAUUCCAAGCCGCCGCAGAAGCCACUGUUUGAGCUGCGAAUCCAGAUCCUAGAAGAGAUGGGAUUGAAGCACUGGGUGGAGUACGAGAAGCACUGGCUCGCCAUUCGCUUCCCAAAUAGCCUGCCACUUUUCUAAACAUUCCUUUCGUUUGAAGCCACAUUCUAGGGUUUUUGGGCUCCAAUGCAAGGAACUGGGGUCCCCGUGGCUGGCGCCAGUCCUUGCAACCAGAACGCGUGCGACAUCCAGGAUUGCCUCAAGAAGAACGAUUAUGUGAUCCAAAGGUAACAAAUCCCAAACGCAAGCUCCAAUUCCUCUGGAGAUUUGAUCUCUGGCAGAUGCCGUGGCGUGAUCAUGGACCUCCAGCAGUGCUGCGAGGACUGCGAUUAUAAAUCCAAGCACUGUGGAGCGCUGUCGGGGCUGAUCGCGAGCUUUGACAAGAAGAAGAGGGCCCAAAAAUCCGCCGAAGUUGCCAAGUAGAAAUCGUCCUCCUCUGUGUAGGUUACUUCUAUUUUCCUGCAAGCAAGGUAGCGAUCUCGAUUUAUCUUUCUAGGGCACCUCGUUUUACUCGGCUUGGAUCCUCUUUCUCCCAGAAAUGCCCAAGAGCAAAGACCCGUGUAAUCAGCACGCUUGCGACAUCCAAGCGUGCCUCCAGAGAAACCACUACGUCAUGGAAAGGUACGAGGAUCGGUCACUGAUUUGCCUCGUGUUUCCAAUUUUGCCUUUCUAGCUGCCGACAAGUGAUACUCAAUCUUCAGAAGUGCUGCGACGAGUGUGAGAAUCGAUCCAAGCACUGCGCUGCGCUCUCGGGCCUCAUCGCGCAGGUCACUCGAACCGAACCAAAGUGAAACCAUGAAGAUAAUCAAAACGUAGUGAGAUUAUAUGUUUAACCUGCGGUUAGGUGAAAAAAUAAAACUUUUGAGUUGAGGGUGCCAGGAUUGGAACCCGGAAAUUCGCUUUCACUGUUAUAUAGUGAAUCGCUUGAAUUAGCCACUACACCCCUCUUAACAUCUGUGAAAAAUUCGUGCUUGGCCGGCGACGUGUGAUUCUCUUGACGUGGAGGCCACAUCGGCUGACACGUCACACUUUUGUGUGUGUUUGCUCAACCUAAAAGUUUUCAAGGAACAUUUUUAUUCGUGAAGAGAUUCCUUUAGACAAAGAGCUAAAAAACGAUGUCUUUUUAUACGGGGAAGAUGCCUGGCGUUGCAUGCCCUGACCAAUGCAUUUAGCUGGGAGGAGGAAGAGCAAUGAGCAGAAAAAAGAAAGAGAAGAGAAACAAUGAAAGAAGAAAAAAGACGAAGAGACUCCUACCUAGAGGAGUUUUCUUGCUGCUCGACGCGGGAGUUCGUCUUCGUCGUCUAAGCCUGCGCCUUCUUCAUUUGGAACCUGACGACAUAGAUCGGAAUCGCGAUCCCCAGCCCGACGAUCCCGCCCCACACCAGCAGCCCAAAUUUGAGGUUCCGGUUCUUCAUGUUCCAGAUCUCAUACAUAUGCUCCCGGUGCUCGUAAUCGUAGUAGCACUGCCUCGGCGCGCCCGUCUGGAAGCUCCUCGUCGCUGGAAGAACAAGAAAGAGGAGAAAAAGAAAGCCCUAAUCGAUCGCGAGAGAAUGCGAGUCACUUACAAGCUAGCUGCGAGGACUGCGCGAUCGUCCUGGUCGCCGCUCUCGCCACCGCCGCUACGCCCGCCAUCGCGCUCGCUCCAAUCAAUCCUAGGGUUCUUGCAAAAGAAUCUUCACGGGUCAAAAACGAGUAUAUUCUAUUUUCAUCUUAUCCAGGCCGUCCGUAC